ACAAGAUCCUAUCCAUGGCGGCGGCGAGCCCGACCCCUGGCUUUGCUGAUGCCGCCAUCCGUGCCACCUCGCUUGACUGAUGCCGUCCGUCCGCCUCAUUGACCAACGACCACAACGAUUUCUGGAUCGGAAGUGUGAUCCCCAUCAAAGGUACGUACACCUCUUCUCUGACCGGGAAAGAUUUCAGCAUCGGUGUGAGAAUUGAGACCCCCUUCUUCUCUACAUCCUUCUUACUAGAGAUCCCAUAUAAGGUACGUACACCUCUUUUCUGGCUGGGGAAGAUUUCUGCAUCGGAAGUGUGAAUUAGUUUUUGCAAAAAAAAAGUUCACUGGAAUUAGGGUACCGUAUUGGCAGCAUCGAUAGGGGUCCAUCCCUCUUUUAUUGUAUUGUUCACUUGAAUUCAGAACUGAAGCAGCUAUUGUUACAGAUCGCUGUCAUCUAUGUCAACAUCAAAGGGGUGAUAAGGAAGCUAUCUUCCAAGAUGCAAUCUCACAAUAUGGACGAUUAUACCAUGACAAUUACGCUCUUAUGAAAGAUUUGGCGAUACUAUUCUCACUGUGGGUCUCAAUAGAUCACCAAGACUUCCUAUAUUCGAACAUCAGAUUUGGACAUGUUAGGCAAAAUAUUAUAAGGAAUACAUAUAGGAUUAGUAGAAUAUUAUAUUUUGACGCUGCAAUUGUAAAUUGUCUAUUGUCUAAGCAAUUUACAU